rnacentral:rRNA from 1 species
UUCCGGUUGAUCCCGCCGGACCCGACUGCUAUCAGAGUGGGACUAAGCCAUGCUAGUCAACAUAGCAAUAUGUGGCAUACGGCUCAGUAACACGUAGUCAACAUGCCCAGGGGACGUGGAUAACCUCGGGAAACUGAGGAUAAACCGCGAUAGGUCAUCACUUCUGGAAUGGGUAAUGACUUAAAUCUAUAUGGCCCCUGGAUUGGACUGCGGCCGAUCAGGCUGUUGGUGAGGUAAUGGCCCACCAAACCUGUAACCGGUACGGGCUCUGAGAGGAGGAGCCCGGAGAUGGGCACUGAGACAAGGGCCCAGGCCCUAUGGGGCGCAGCAGGCGCGAAACCUCUGCAAUAGGCGAAAGCUUGACAGGGUUACUCUGAGUGAUUUCCGUUAAGGAGAUCUUUUGGCACCUCUAAAAAUGGUGCAGAAUAAGGGGUGGGCAAGUCUGGUGUCAGCCGCCGCGGUAAUACCAGCACCCCGAGUGGUCGGGACGUUUAUUGGGCCUAAAGCAUCCGUAGCCGGUUCUACAAGUCUUCCGUUAAAUCCACCUGCUUAACAGAUGGGCUGCGGAAGAUACUAUAGAGCUAGGAGGCGGGAGAGGCAAGCGGUACUCGAUGGGUAGGGGUAAAAUCCGCUGAUCCAUAGAAGACCACCAGUGGCGAAGGCGGCUUGCCAGAACGCGCUCGACGGUGAGGGAUGAAAGCUGGGGGAGCAAACCGGAUUAGAUACCCGGGUAGUCCCAGCUGUAAACGAUGCAGACUCGGUGAUGAGUUGGCUUAUUGCUAACUCAGUGCCGCAGGGAAGCCGUUAAGUUUGCCGCCUGGGGAGUACGGUCGCAAGACUGAAACUUAAAGGAAUUGGCGGGGGAGCA